rnacentral:rRNA from 1 species
AGCUCCAAUAGCGUAUAUUAAAGUUGUUGCAGUUAAAAAGCUCGUAGUUGAAUUUCGGAGGAGAGUACCUGGUGUCACUUCGGUGACCACUAGGUGACUUGAUUCUUUUUUCUGGGGAAGCAGUGUGCCCUUCACUGGGUGCGCUGGGGAACCAGAACGAUUACCUUGAGAAAAAUAGAGUGUUCAAAGCAGGCGCAUAUGCUUGAAUACGUUAGCAUGGAAUAAUAAAAUAGGACGUUGGUUUCUAUUUUGUUGGUUUUAAAGACCAAUGUCAUGAUGAAUAGGGACAGUUGGGGGCAUUAGUAUUUCGAAGCUAGAGGUGAAAUUCUUGGAUUUUCGAAAGACUAACUACUGCGAAAGCAUUUGCCAAGGAUGUUUUCA